rnacentral:rRNA from 1 species
AACGAACGCUGGCGGCAGGCCUAACACAUGCAAGUCGAGCGGACCCUUCGGGGUUAGCGGCGGACGGGUGAGUAACGCGUGGGAAUAUGCCCUUCUCUACGGAAUAGUCCUGGGAAACUGGGGGUAAUACCGUAUACGCCCUUUGGGGGAAAGAUUUAUCGGGGAAGGAUUAGCCCGCGUUGGAUUAGGUAGUUGGUGGGGUAAUGGCCUACCAAGCCGACGAUCCAUAGCUGGUUUGAGAGGAUGAUCAGCCACACUGGGACUGAGACACGGCCCAGACUCCUACGGGAGGCAGCAGUGGGUAAUCUUAGACAAUGGGGGCAACCCUGAUCGAGCCAUGCCGCGUGAGUGAUGAAGGCCUUAGGGUUGUAAAGCUCUUUCAGCUGGGAAGAUAAUGACGGUACCAGCAGAAGAAGCCCCGGCUAACUCCGUG